GCAGUGAGGAAUUUUGCGCAAUGGGGGAAACCCUGACGCAGCAACGCCGCGUGAGUGAUGAAGGCUUUCGGGUCGUAAAGCUCUGUCAAGUGGGAAGAACNUGCAGUAUGUUAAUAUCAUAUUGCACUGACGGUACCNNNNAAGGAAGCACCGGCUAACUCCGUGCCAGCAGCCGCGGUAAUACGGGGGGUGCAAGCGUUAUUCGGAAUCAUUGGGCGUAAAGAGCACGUAGGCGGCCUGGUAAGUCAGAUGUGAAAGCCCGGGGCUUAACCCCGGAAGUGCAUUUGAUACUGUCAGGCUUGAGUAUGGGAGAGGGAAGUGGAAUUCCUGGUGUAGAGGUGAAAUUCGUAGAUAUCAGGAGGAACACCGGUGGCGAAGGCGACUUCCUGGACCAAUACUGACGCUGAGGUGCGAAGGCGUGGGUAGCAAACAGGAUUAGAUACCCUGGUAGUCCACGCAGUAAACGUUGUUCACUAGGUGUAGCGGG
rnacentral:rRNA from 1 species